GUAGAAGGGCAAAUAAGAAAAAUAUUUGCUAUAUAAAGGGUAUAUAAGAAAAGUUAGUUACGGUAGAAGGGUAUAUUGGAAUGGACAAAAUGGUAAUUUUACAGAGAUAACGGCAGCUCACCAACGGAGCUUAACUCCAGGGGUAUUUUAGAAAGACUUGGAACAUAAGAAGGGUAUUUUCAAUAUUAGCCUUCUAAGAGGGGUAUAUAAGAAAACCGGAAACUUUUCAGGAGUAUAUAGGCAAUUGCCCCAAAUAAAUAAAUAAAAU
rnacentral:lncRNA from 1 species